rnacentral:rRNA from 1 species
UACGUAAGUGGCAAGCGUUGUCCGGAUUUACUGGGCGUAAAGAGCGCGCAGGCGGUCGUUCAAGUCGCGUGUGAAAGCCCCCGGCUCAACUGGGGAGGGUCACGCGAUACUGAUCGACUCGAAGGCAGGAGAGGGUAGUGGAAUUCCCGGUGUAGUGGUGAAAUGCGUAGAUAUCGGGAGGAACACCAGUGGCGAAGGCGACUACCUGGCCUGUUCUUGACGCUGAGGCGCGAAAGCUAGGGGAGCAAACGGG